CAUCUGAAACUGUUGCAUAAAAACAGGAGAAAUAAAGAGAUAAUGCUGCAACGCUGCUGUGCAUUAAAACCAUUCUAAAUAAAGAAGUUUUAAGUUUGGAUUUCAAAAGAGCGACGUCUGUAAUGGUGUGAAUGUCAGGUGGUAACUUGUU